UAAGAAAACUUUGGUUGCCUGGCUCUGAGAACUGAAUUCUAUAGGCCGUGAGCUCUAGCAGAUACCCUAGGGACUCAGUUCUGGUGCCUGGCUGGGCUGCAUCACC
ensembl:miRNA